GUCCAAGGCCAUACCACCCUGAAGGUGCCCGAUCUUGUCUGAUCUUGGAAGCUAAGCAGGGUCAGGCCUGGUUAGUACUUGGAUGGGAGAAUUGCAUUGUAUU
rnacentral:rRNA from 1 species